rnacentral:misc_RNA from 1 species
CUUGCCUCGCCUUUUCUAGGUUUUUUUCUGAGUGUUAAAACGGGUAGAUUUUUCAUUUACCAAUGAAUUGGAUCCGCCCCGAUUCGAUCAAUAAUGGGAUUCUUGGCUAGAAGAAAGGUUCUGUGACAUGGACGCCCAGCCCAACUCGAUCGGUCGGUUGGCUCACCUAACAGAUGAUGAGAUUCUCGAUCGAUUUGAUCGAAUUUUGAAAACUCUUUUUCACUAUUCAGAACAGUAGAGCUUUCGAUCAAGAUGUUCUCGCCUCCCCCGUUUGGGCUCUCGCUCGAAUCGGAACUUUUAUGCGUUGGUAGGCUUUCGACUCAAUCUAAUAGCCUACCUAUCGGGCGCCAAUAAAAGAGAAAGUUUUCGCAUGGGCUCAUCAUCUGAUGCAGAACUUAUUUCAUAACCACCAUCCAUCACCAAUCACAUUCCAUAUCCCACUUCAAACUUUUCGAUUCCUCGGCUCACCUGCCUCUGAAGCUGGAAUGCCUUUAUUUUAUAGAGGAGACUACCCGAGGAAU